GAUGAACGCUGGCGGCGUGCCUAAUACAUGCAAGUCGAGCGAACGGACGAGAAGCUUGCUUCUCUGAUGUUAGCGGCGGACGGGUGAGUAACACGUGGAUAACCGACCUAUAAGACUGAGAUAACUUCGGGAAACCGGAUCUAAUACCGGACAAUAUUUUGAACCGCAUGGUUCAAAAGUGAAAGACGGUCUUGCUGUCACUAAUAGAUGGAUCCGCGCUGCAUUAGCUAGUUGGUAAGGUAACGGCUUACCAAGGCAACGAUGCGUAGCCGACCUGAGAGGGUGAUCAGCCACACUGGAACUGAGACACGGUCCAGACUCCUACGGGAGGCAGCAGUAGGGAAUCUUGCGCAAUGGGCGAAAGCCUGACGGAGCAACGCCGCGUGAGUGAUGAAGGUCUUCGGAUCGUAAAACUCUGUUAGUAGGGAAGAACAUAUGUGUAAGUAACUGUGCACAUCUUGACGUUACCUAAACAGAAAGCCACGGCUAACUACGUG
rnacentral:rRNA from 1 species